AUUGAACGCUGGCGGAACGCUUUACACAUGCAAGUCGAACGGCAGCACGGGGGCAACCCUGGUGGCGAGUGGCGAACGGGUGAGUAAUACAUCGGAACGUGCCCAGUCGUGGGGGAUAACGUAGCGAAAGUUACGCUAAUACCGCAUACGAUCUACGGAUGAAAGCGGGGGACCGUAAGGCCUCGCGCGAUUGGAGCGGCCGAUGUCAGAUUAGUUAGUUGGUGAGGUAAAGGCUCACCAAGCCGACGAUCUGUAGCUGGUCUGAGAGGACGACCAGCCACACUGGGACUGAGACACGGCCCAGACUCCUACGGGAGGCAGCAGUGGGGAAUUUUGGACAAUGGGCGCAAGCCUGAUCCAGCCAUUCCGCGUGCAGGACGAAGGCCUUCGGGUUGUAAACUGCUUUUGUACGGAACGAAAAGGCUCUGGUUAAUACCUGGAGCUCAUGACGGUACUGUAAGAAUAAGCACCGGCUAACUACGUGCCAGCCGCCGCCGUAA
rnacentral:rRNA from 1 species